AUGGAGAGGACGAUCACGGAGCACGAGGGGGACCCAGGAAAGGACGACGGCGAGGCUCCGGACCUCCUGGACGACUUGCUCUUGAUCGCCAAGGAUGGUGACCAGGGGUUUAAGCUGGAUCGGAUCGAUGUGAAGGGAGUCAUCUUGGACAUGUUCAUAGCAGGCACCGACACGACCUACAAGACGAUAGAAUGGACCUUGGCCGAGCUCAUGAAGAAUCCAAGAGAAAUGGCAAAGGUGCAAUCAGAGGUGAGACAGGUUGCUGCAGGCGCGCAUGGAGGAGUCCUCGAGGAGGAGCUGGAAAAGAUGAACCUCCUACAGGCGGCCAUGAAGGAAACAUUGCGGUUACACCCGCCGGUGCCGCUCCUCAUCCCACGCGAAUCCAUUCAGGAUGCACAGCUACACGGCUAUGACAUCCCGGCCAAGACCCGGGUCAUGGUCAACACGUGGGCCAUAGGGAGGGACGGCGAGUCGUGGGAGAACGCCGAAGAGUUCCGGCCAGAAAGGUUCCUCGGCAGGACCAUCGACUACAAUGGCAAGGACCCUCGGUUCCUACCGUUCGGCGCGGGAAGGAGGGGGUGCCCCGGUAUUGCCUUUGGGACACGCCUCGCAGAGCUCACGCUGGCUAACAUGAUGUACCAUUUCGACUGGGAGCUACCGGAUGGCGAGGAUCCCGAGUCAUUUGAGGUUGUUGAGUCCAGUGGCUUGUCGCCUGGCCUUAAGUCUGCCUUGAUCCUUGGUAUAAAACCUCUGUAA
rnacentral:rRNA from 1 species